ACACCCCUGCUUUGACAGCGAAGGACUCCUCAACCAGGAAAACAAAUGACGAGGCCUUGGAAAAGUUAACUCCUAAAGCUCCAUUGCCAACGCGCCCUACUUCGACAGCAAAGACUCCACAACCAGAGAAACAUCAACACCAUCUUCUGAUGUUCUCUCUCGGCCAUCCACCUCCACUGCCGCUCAAUUCACAGAGGGAGUACUUACAUCGGAAACUGUAGUAGAAGGUCGCCCCAAGAGUCCUGACUUUCUGCAAAAUGAUCAAGAUGGGCCCAUCAACUUGAAUACUCCCCUGAAAGAUCGGCUCAACCCAGGUCAAAGUUCAUCUCCUAAAUCAGCUCAGAGAAAGUUAAACUUUGAUAAGAACCCGCCCACUGGCCAGUCUCCGAGGAAAGCGAAGAAACCGAAAUGUAAUUUAGGCAAAAAAAUCAAACAUUCUUGCCCGUUCCUCUUCCAAGGAUCCACCAGUGAAGCGGUGAUGCACGUCCUAUGCACAUUGUCCGCUGAUAUUAAGAGUGUACUAAGCCACGCAAAAAGGUCGAAAGUUACAGCACCUGCCCCUGGAGUCGAAGAGUCGGAGGAAGUAAUAAAAGAGGUCCCUCUACCUGAGGCCAUUGCAAAUCUGCUUCCGUGCCAAACCAAAGACGCAGUUGAUGAGGCAGAAAACUUUUUAAAACAAGAUAAAGCUCAUGUUGAAACAGUGAUCAAUUAUUUCAAAUUCUUGUGUCAACACGAUUCAGGACUAUCAAAAACUGCCCGCAACAUUCUCCGAGAAUGGAUGGUGAAGAAGUCCAACAACUCUACUCCCUAAGAGGUGGGCAUGCGAAUAAGAAAUUGAAAGCGGGCAGCAGAAAAAACACGCGUUGAACAAACUAACUCUCUACUCCAUUAUCCAGAGUAAGUACUUAUAUUUUCUGCCUCAAGAAAAGUCCCUUGUAGUCUAAGGGACCAGAAAUGAAAAGAGAGCAUACUUAUGUUUUAAAAUUUUUUUUCCCACGACCUGGUCGCCAUGUGACUUCCUUUCUUAAUUAUUUAUUGAAAAUCUCCAGUCCGUCUAGCUCUACAUUUUAAGGUUGCGUCAAUUAAAAUAUGUAUUGAAGAAAAAGUACAAUAGAACAUUAAAUUUACAACCUGCGGUCCAGGAUUUCACAAUCUUUUAAGCUUCAACAUUCUUCUCAUCAGCCUGUCACAAUAUGCCCUGCUAUUUCUCAUUUUUCUUCCUGUAAUCUUUGACUUUAAACUUUUAACCCUUACAAGUUUUCCCACCUUAGAAAUUCUCAGGGCCUUCUCAGGUUUUUUUGCCCCAUCAGGCAUUUUGUGCAGCCCUGCUACAGAGCAAAUUGAGUUACACUAGUUGCUGUUCAACUGCAGCCUACUUGAAUUUCAUAUGAAGGUCUGUACCCUAGCAAUUUCAAAAUAAAUUUCCUUCUCUCUCCCCCCCCCCCCUUAAAGUCUUAUUGCAUCUUCUUUUCAGUUACCGGUAUGAAGGUGAUAAAUUUACUGUUCCUACUUAAUGGUGAACUUUUUUUCAACGUAGAUGCAGCUAUUUUAGGAGAUAUCAUAUUAUAUUUUGGUUCCUUUCUGAAUAAAUGAGGUGUUCCUACUUUUAAAAGUGCCUUUAUCAUUUUAAGUAAUCAGCCUUUUGUAUGAUGCUUUUUGCAGAAGUUGUGAAAAGUCUCUAUGCGGGAAAAGUUGCCAACUACCAUGACUUGAUGGAUGGCACUCUUGGAUCUCUCCUCACAGCUCUACCGCUGAGCCAGCCGAAAAAUGAGUAGGCUCUGACCAGGACGUGAGGAUGAUUAAAUAGUAUUUACAGAAAUGUUUAUUCUUUAACUUCCAUUUUCUUAAAGUGAAAACUGUUAUUUGUUGUGUUUGGUACCUCUCCUAUAUAUAAGUAUUGUGAUCGAAUGAAUACUGGUGGGUGACGAAGUUUUAAUUCUAUCAGAAUCUUUGAUGAACUAUUUUAUCUUCGUUUCAUGCUUUUUCACAUUUUCACAUAUCAUAAUUUAUUUUGUUGUUUUGACGAAAGCGUACAGUGGUUGUAAAAAAGGUUUGAAUAAUGAUCUAUCUUUCGAUAAUUUCUGAAUCUAAAUCAAUUUUGGAGAUCCCUCAGUCAUCACACCGUUCUGUAUCAGAUAUUGUGUACAACUUUAAUUGGAAAGCAUUUCAAAAUUGCUUCGGAAGCACUUACUUGAAGUUGCUUCAUCUUAAUAUCCGAGUCAUUCACGUUAGGUGGCUCUCGUAGUGUUUUCAAAAUGUUUCCGGUUUGGAUUUUGCGCAUUCAUCUGUGAUGCACUGAGAGGUACUGUGACCUUAUGGGAUUUUUGGAAACAUACAUGGAAAUAAUAAUUAAUAAAUAAUGGAUGAUUAUAAAUUGACUGAUAGACCAUGGAAUCGUUUUUGUAAGUGGUUUAGAAUCACCAUGUAUAACUUGUUCAAUUAUUACAAUUCCUUGCCUAAAAAAACAGUCCUCUAAUAAAAAAUGACAUAUAACUCUAGACCUUAAGUACUAGUCAUUAUGUCAUUCCUUUUACUGAACUAAUCGAUGCUCAGUUUAUUCAGUAGGUUUACUUCAGUUCCUCUUGUUAACUUCAGUAAUCAAGUUAAGAUAGUUCCGCUUCUUAUUUAAGAAUCCAGGAGGAAGGUUUGUUUCAUUGGUCCUCUGAUUUAUUUGUUCUCAGAAGUGCACCAGAACCAACUCAUGUGAGUCAUGUACAGUUUAGUUUUUGUAGUUCUUUGCCUAACAAACUGUCAAUUACACCUAAUUCAAGCCUUAAAAAUAAUGAUCAUUUUGAAAGUUCUUUGUUAACCUAGCUAUCGCUUACUUUAAUUAAUGUAAUUAAGUUUUUCCUUCUCAGGUACUGUAAGCAAACCAAGACUGAUUCGACUUUUACUAAAAGAGUGCUUUAAAGACAUGAACCUAAUUUGUGACAGUCUCUCCUUUUACUAGUCUAUGCUCAGUUCCUGUUUGAAUUGAUUCUUUUUUGUCAAGAAUUGAAAAUGAACUAAAACAUACCAAUCGUUCAUUUUUGUUGUGAUAACCAGUUUUGAAAAUUCUGACAAUCAUUGUGUUCUACUAAACUGAUCAGUUAACUUUAUUUUAGCUUGUUUUUGUCAAGUAUAUAGUAAGUGUAUGCAGACUGAUUAUCAUUCAAGUUACAAUCAUAGUAUUUAAAAUUUGGGCUAUCACUUUGUUUUACUUGUCCGAUUACUCUAGUUUAUAUAGCUGUUUUUGUCAGGUAUCUAUUGUAAGCAAAUGAAGACUGAUCAAUCAUCAUUUAAGUUUUGAUCAAAGUAUUAAAAAUCUGGGCUGCUGCUUUUGUUCUACUAGUCUGACUAAAUUAGUCUAUCUCGCUUACUUUUGUCAAAUAUAUUAAAAUCAAAUCUAGACAGACCGAUGAUUUCUUUAAUUUACAAUUGUAAAUACUCAUAAUUUUGAUAGCCCUUUUGUGUUACUAGUCUGAUCAGUUCAGUUAAUUUUGCUUCUUCUCAACACGUUUAGUGUAAAGGACUGAUCAAGUUGCAAUUGAAAGUGAUAAUAAUCUGAUAACCUCUUUCAUUAAUAUUUGUUACUGUUUAGUUAAAUUAUUUACAGGAGUUAUGUUGCAAUGUAUUCUUUUUUUGUUUCGUUAGUUUCUUAAGGAGCCUCAAGUCCAUUAAAGUUAGUUUUCAUUUUCCUUUAACUAUC
rnacentral:lncRNA from 1 species